UUUAAGCGUAGCCUUGAGUUUUCUUGUACAACUUUGAUCGCUCGUUUUAUUUGAAAUAUUGUUAUGGUUAUUAGAUGAUAAAAUACUUUAUGCGUGACUUAUAUUUUUAAAAUAAUUAACAAAUUUAAACAAUACGGACGAUUAAAAUUGGACACGGGAUGUGUUUAAA
rfam:Oryza sativa (indica cultivar-group) chromosome 2, whole genome shotgun sequence.